GCUGUGAUCUCUUCUUCUUCCCGAGCCUCGUCCCAUGGCUUCCUUGGAUGCCUCUCGGACAAGAGGAUCCCGGUGUUCACGCAGGGCUCGGAUUCCUUCAUGCCGCGGCUCAACGCCUACGUCAGGAACCCAAGGUUCCUGGCGAAUACCACCGUGAGGCCUCUCUACUUGGUCAUGCCGACGAACGCCGGCCACGUGCAGGACGCCGUUCGCUGCGGCCGCCGGCACAACAUGUCCAUCCGCGUGCGCAGCGGCGGGCACGACUACGAGGGCCUGUCGUACCGGUCCGUGAACGCCAGCGACUUCGCGGUGCUCGACCUGUCGGAGCUCCGCACCGUGCUCGUCGACAGCCAGACGUCGACGGCGUGGGUGGAGUCCGGCGCGACCCUUGGCGAGCUCUACUAUGCCAUCGGCAACGUGAGCGACGUGCUGGGGUUCCCGGACGGCGUGUGCCCGACCGUCGGCGUCGGAGGCCAUUUCAGCGGCGGCGGCUUCGGCACGCUGAUGCGCAAGCACGGGCUGGCCGUCGACAACGUCGUCGACGCCGAGCUGGUGGUCGCCAAUGGGACGGUCCUGAACAGGACCACCAUGGGGGAAGACGUCUUUUGGGCCAUCCGAGGCGGCGGAGGGAGCUUCGGCGUCGUGCUAAAGUGGCAGGUGGGAUUGGUGACCAUCCCGGCGACGGUGUCGGUGUUCAAGGAGGCGGUGUCGGACAGCGAGGGCGCCGUGGACAAGGUCACCAGGUGGCAGAAGGUGGCGCUGGCCCUGCCGGGCGAACUGUACCUCAGGGUGCGCGUCCAGGAAAAGAAGGCCGACUUCCGGGCCUCGUUCCUCGGCGGCUGCGACGACCUCCGGCGGGUGAUGAACCGCAGCCUGGGGUUGAACGGCGCCGACUGCAAGGAGAUGACCUGGGUCGAGUCCGUGGCCUACAUCUGGCUGAGCAGCAACGCGACCCGGGAGGACCUCCUGAGCCGGAACACCUCCAAGUCCGAAUCCCCCAACAGCUUCAAGGCGACGACCGACUACGUCCGGCAGGCCAUUCCCAGGGACGCGUGGGCCGAGAUCUUCGGCAAGCUGGUGUAGCCCAAUGCGCAGAUCAUCUUGCCCCCCUACGGCGGGCAGAUGGGCAACGUGUCGGAGGACGCGACGCCGUUCCCGCACCGCAACGGCGUGCUGUACAGCAUGCAGUUGUACAACUACUGGCGGGUGGAUUCGCCGCGGAGAUCAAAGUGGGUCAGAGACAUGCACCAGUUCAUGGCGACGAACGUGAGCUCCAACCCAAUGGAAGCCUACUUCGGCUGCAGGGACCUGGAUCUGGGCGACGACUGGGGACGCAAAUACUUCAAGGGUAACUACCAGAGGCUCACCGAGGUCAAGGCUAAGGUCGACCCGGCCCGACGACUACUUCCGCAGCGAGCAAAGCAUCCCGCUGCCACCACCGAAUUAUGUGCAUCAACUGCACCGGCCGGGGGCUCUUUCCUCCGCCUUCUGAACCACAUGCUAGUAUUUUUUUUAUUUUUGCCUACAUGCUGGUAUCUAUCUUUGAUUUUGCGUACAUGCAUGGUGGCUACUCCCAACGAGUGA
rnacentral:rRNA from 1 species